GAUGAACGCUGGCGGCGUGCCUAAUACAUGCAAGUCGAGCGAACGGACGAGAAGCUUGCUUCUCUGAUGUUAGCGGCGGACGGGUGAGUAACACGUGGAUAACCUACCUAUAAGACUGGGAUAACUUCGGGAAACCGUAGCUAAUACCGGAUAAUAUUUAGAACCGCAUGGUUCAAAAGUGAAAGACGGUCUUGCUGUCACUUAUAGAUGGAUCCGCGCUGCAUUAGCUAGUUGGUAAGGUAACGGCUUACCAAGGCAACGAUGCAUAGCCGACCUGAGAGGGUGAUCGGCCACACUGGAACUGAGACACGGUCCAGACUCCUACGGGAGGCAGCAGUAGGGAAUCUUCCGCAAUGGGCGAAAGCCUGACGGAGCAACGCCGCGUGAGUGAUGAAGGUCUUCGGAUCGUAAAACUCUGUUAUUAGGGAAGAACAUAUGUGUAAGUAACUGUGCACAUCUUGACGGUACCUAAUCAGAAAGCCACGGCUAACUACGUG
rnacentral:rRNA from 1 species